UACAGAGGGGGCCAGCGUUAUCCGGAAUUAUUGGGCGUAAAGGGCGCGUAGGCGGCCAUGCGUGUCUUCCGUGAAAUCCCUCGGCUUAACUGAGGACGUGCGGAAGAAACUGCAAGGCUCGAGUCCGGGAGAGGGGGGUGGAAUUCCCAGUGUAGCGGUGAAAUGCGUAGAUAUUGGGAGGAACACCGGUGGCGAAGGCGGCCCCCUGGACCGGUACUGACGCUGAGGCGCGAAAGCGUGGGUAGCAAACGGG
rnacentral:rRNA from 1 species